AUGGGAGUGGUCGGUCAUAAUGAUCCUUUGUUAGGUGAAACCACAUGUGGGUCUUUGCUGCAGCAACUACAGCUGAUAUGGGAUGAGGUUGGUGAGAGCGAUGAUGAUCGCGACAAGAUGUUACUUCAGCUAGAGCAGGAAUGCUUAGAUGUUUACAGGAGAAAGGUUGAUCAGGCUUCUAGUUCCAGGGCUCGUCUUCUUCAACAACUUGCCAACUCCAAAUCCGAGCUUAAUAGACUGCUUUCUUCACUGGGAGAACUGUCUAUUUCUGGUGUUAUAGUUCCUGACAAGACAACUGGUACAAUCAAGGAGCAACUAGCAGCGACAUCACCAUUCUUGGAACAGCUCUGCAGGAAAAAAGAGAAGAGGGUGAAAGAGUUUGCUGAUGUUCAACUCCAAAUUCAAACAAUACGUGGUGAAAUUGCGGGUACUCUACAAGUUGGUGACCACUUGGAAAUGCCCCAUGUCAACGAGGAUGAUCUUUCAAUGAAGAAACUAAAUGAAUUUCUUUUUGAACUACAAGCACUUCAAAAGGAAAAGAGUGAUAGAUUGCACAAGAUUCUUGACUUUGUGAGCUCUGUGCACGAUCUUUGUUCUGUCCUUGGGAUGGAUUUCUUGGCUACUGUUACUGAAGUUCAUCCUAGCCUCAAUGACUCUGUGGGUGCUCACUCCAAGAGUGUUAGUGAUGAAACAAUAUCCAGGCUGUCUAAGAUGGUGACCGAACUUAAAGAAGAGAAAGUUAAGAGGAUUGGAAAGAUUCAAGCUCUAGCCUCCCAGCUAACUGACCUUUGGAACUUAAUGGAUGCCACUGUUGAGGAACGACAACUUUUUGAUCAUGUCACAUGCAAUAUGUCCUCAACAUUGGAUAGAGUGACAGUUCCUGGAGCUUUGGCUCUUGAUGUACUUGAUCAGGCUGAACAUGAAGUUGAAAGGCUGGAUCAGCUAAAAGCUAGUAGGAUGAAGGAUAUUGCAUUCAAAAGGCAGACUGAACUUGAAGAUAUAUAUGCCCAGGCUCAUAUUGCAAUAGAUACUAGUGCUGCAAGAGAUAGAAUACUGUCUGUUAUUGAUUCUAGUAUGUUCGAGCCAUCAGAGCUACUGGCCGAUAUGGAGAACCAGAUACUUAAAGCAAAAGAGGAGGCCUCAAGCAGAAAGGACAUAUUGGAGAAGGUUGACAGGUGGAUGCUAGCAUGCGAAGAAGAGAGCUGGCUUGAAGACUAUAGCCAGGAUGAUAACAGAUACAGUGCAACUAGAGGCGCACAUCUGAACCUCAAGCGUGCAGAAAAAGCUCGUGUUUUGGUUAAUAAAAUCCCAGCCAUUGUUGACAUGCUGGUGGCGAAGACCCAGGCUUGGGAACAAGAACACAACACAGCAUUCACCUACGACGGUGUCGCACUUCUUGUGAUGCUGGACGAAUACAGAAUCCUGAGACAGGAGAAGGAGGAAGAGAAGCGAAGAAUGAGGGACCAGAAGAAGAUAAACGACCAGCUAGCCGCCGAGCAGGAGAAGCUGUUCGGGUCAAAGCCGAGCCCUGCCCGGCCCCAGUCUGCGAAGAAGUUGCCUGGCCCUCGGGCCAACGGCGGCGCUGUCAACGGCACGCCGAACCGGAGGCUCUCGGUGCAGCAGCAGAACGGCGUGCGGUCGGCGAGCCGGGACGGCCGCAGGGAGAGCGUCAGGCCAUCGGCGCCGGUGAACUACGUGGCCAUCGCCAAGGACGACGCGGCUUUGCAAGCGUCUUCGAACUGA
rnacentral:rRNA from 1 species